AACUGCGAGUGAAGAGGGAAAAGCUCAAAUUUAAAAUCUGGCAGUGUUUCACUGUCCGAGUUGUAACCUAGAGAAGUGUAACCUGCGCUGGACCGUGUAUAAGUCUCCUGGAAUGGAGCAUCACAGAGGGUGAGAAUCCCGUCUUUGACAUGGACUACCAGUGCAUUGUGGUUGCGCUCUCAACGAGUCGAGUUGUUUGGGAAUGCAGCUCUAAAUGGGUGGUAAAUUCCAUCUAAAGCUAAAUAUUGGCGAGAGACCGAUAGCGAACAAGUACCGUGAGGGAAAGAUGAAAAGAACUUUGGAAAGAGAGUUAAAACAGUAUGUGAAAUUGUUGAAAGGGAAACGUUUGAAGUCAGUCGCGUUGGUUGGGGAUCAGCCUGACAUUGUUGGGUGUACUUCCUGGUCGACGGGCCAACAUCAGUUUUGACUGCCAGAAAAAGAUCAAAGGAAUGUGGCACCUUUGGGUGUGUUAUAGCCCUUGGUCGUAUAUGGUGGUUGGGACUGAGGAAAGCAGCGUGCCAAAAGGCCGGGUUUCGACCACGUUCACGCUGAGGAUGUUGGCAUAAUGGCUUUAAGCGACCCGUCUUGAAACACGGACCAAGGAGUCUAACAUGCAUGCGAGUGUUUGGGUGGAAAACCCUUACGCGUAAUGAAAGUGAAAGUUGAGAUCCCUGUCGCGGGGAGCAUCGACGCCCGGACCAGAACUUUUGGGACGGAUCCGCGGUAGAGCACGUAUGUUGGGACCCGAAAGAUGGUGAACUAUGCCUGAAUAGGGUGAAGCCAGAGGAAACUCUGGUGGAGGCUCGUAGCGAUUCUGACGUGCAAAUCGAUCGUCAAAUUUGGGUAUAGGGGCGAAAG
rnacentral:rRNA from 1 species